GGUUAAGCGACUAAGCGUACACGGUGGAUGCCCUGGCAGUCAGAGGCGAUGAAGGACGUGCUAAUCUGCGAUAAGCGUCGGUGAGGUGAUAUGAACCGUUAUAACCGGCGAUUUCCGAAUGGGGAAACCCAGUGUGUUUCGACACACUAUCAUUAACUGAAUCCAUAGGUUAAUGAGGCGAACCGGGGGAACUGAAACAUCUAAGUACCCCGAGGAAAAGAAAUCAACCGAGAUUCCCCCAGUAGCGGCGAGCGAACGGGGAGGAGCCCAGAGCCUGAAUCAGUGUGUGUGUUAGUGGAAGCGUCUGGAAAGGCGUGCGAUACAGGGUGACAGCCCCGUACACAAAAAUGCACAUAUUGUGAGCUCGAUGAGUAGGGCGGGACACGUGGUAUCCUGUCUGAAUAUGGGGGGACCAUCCUCCAAGGCUAAAUACUCCUGACUGACCGAUAGUGAACCAGUACCGUGAGGGAAAGGCGAAAAGAACCCCGGCGAGGGGAGUGAAAAAGAACCUGAAACCGUGUACGUACAAGCAGUGGGAGCCUCUUAAUGGGGUGACUGCGUACCUUUUGUAUAAUGGGUCAGCGACUUAUAUUCUGUAGCAAGGUUAACCGAAUAGGGGAGCCGAAGGGAAACCGAGUCUUAACUGGGCGUUAAGUUGCAGGGUAUAGACCCGAAACCCGGUGAUCUAGCCAUGGGCAGGUUGAAGGUUGGGUAACACUAACUGGAGGACCGAACCGACUAAUGUUGAAAAAUUAGCGGAUGACUUGUGGCUGGGGGUGAAAGGCCAAUCAAACCGGGAGAUAGCUGGUUCUCCCCGAAAGCUAUUUAGGUAGCGCCUCGUGAAUUCAUCUCCGGGGGUAGAGCACUGUUUCGGCAAGGGGGUCAUCCCGACUUACCAACCCGAUGCAAACUGCGAAUACCGGAGAAUGUUAUCACGGGAGACACACGGCGGGUGCUAACGUCCGUCG
rnacentral:rRNA from 1 species